UGGCGGACGGGUGAGUAACGCGUGGGCAACCUGCCCCAUACAGGGGGAUAACAGCCGGAAACGGCUGCUAAAACCGCAUAAGCGCACAAGGGCCGCAUGGCCUGGUGUGAAAAACUCCGGUGGCAUGGGAUGGGCCCGCGUCUGAUUAGCUAGUUGGCGGGGGAGAGGCCCACCAAGGCGACGAUCAGUAGCCGACCUGAGAGGGUGGCCGGCCACAUUGGGACUGAGACACGGCCCAAACUCCUACGGGAGGCAGCAG
rnacentral:rRNA from 1 species